AUCUUUAUAUAUAUAGUUACGAUUUUAAUAAUGAAAUAAUAAUCCGAAAAUAUAUAUAUAGAAGAUGAUACAAAUACAUGUGAAAGUUUAAGACAAUCUAUUCAAUGAAAAAAAUAUACCGUAAACUUAUUAUGUUUUAAAAAAUGAUAUACACAUAUAUUAUAAUAUAUAUCAAUUUAGAAUUGAAAACAAAAUAUUUAUAUAAAAAUAAAUAAAAACAAAAAUCUGUGCGGUUGUGCGGGUCGAGAUCUACUCAUUAUUAAAUGAUUAUAGGCAAAUUCUGUGGGUCAAAGCUGAAAUCAAGAAGCUGCCUACCUAUUCACUCCAUGAGGGCAUGAUUAACCCCGGUCUCUUAGCCGAGGUUUUUAAUUCAUUAUUUGACAUUUUUUUUUACAUUUUUCGGCUAAGAAACGGUUCUUAUAUCUCUUAUUUAAGAGGGGGUUCUUAGCUUUUCUUAGUUAAAAUCUAAGAAAAGUUAAGAAACAUCUCUUAGCCGAAGCUAAGAACCACGGUUAAGAGGCUGAGGUUAAUAUGAUCUGGUUGUUUAGCGUAUUUCCACUACUUUUGGCACUUUUCACAUUUUUUAAAUCCUUGGACUUUCUAUAAUGUUAUAAUAUUUAUUUUAAACCAAAAUUUUCUAAAUGGUCUGGUGUUGUUAUUGUGUGCAAUUGCGCAUACGGGGAUACCGUUAGCAGCCCGUUUCAUGGUGGCGUGUAUGUGUCAAAAUGGAACAUGCUUUUAUGAUAUUGGUUUCUAAUAGGUAUCAACAUUUAAUUGAUUUAGUUUUUUAAAAAUAAAACAAAACUAUGAAAAAAUAUUAAUAUUCUAAAACACUCUAGUGCAUAUGUGAUCAAUAAGAGCAUCAUUAUUUCAGCAACCAUGAAAGGUUGCUUAAAUUUUUUUUUUGGGUCUAAAUAUAAAAGAAAAAAAAUUAAAAAAUGCACCAAUCGCGGACCGCCACGUGUUGGUGGAGCCCGCAAACAGUACAAGUAACAAAGAAAGCUCGGUGCUUAUUUUGCAUGCGGAAAAGACGAUGCUUUUGUUUUUGGUGAGGCCCAGGCCAUAAGCAACUCUUUUCUUAUAGCGAUAAAAGAUGCUCCAAGAGUGCUCUUACAGUUUAUAUAUGGUGUCGUAUUAUAAUACCGUCAAAGUGUAAUCUGAUUUGAAUAUUUUGACCAAGAGUCUUGAACCGUUGUGUUUUUUUUUCAUUAAACAUUUGAACUGCUAAUAUUUAGUUCUUUUCAGCCAACAAUGAGAUUUGUGAGCGAUAUAAUCCAGGAUUCUGUUGCUAACAACUUUUGUAUAGUUUAGAUAUUAUACGAUAUAAUUUCCUGUAAAGUUGUAGUAGUCUUGACUAUUUAUAGUCGGUAAAUAAGAUCGUAUCCUUAAAAGAAAUUAAUCAAUUUUCAUGAUAUCAUAAUUUAAAAACUCAUGAACCAAUUUCUCUCUUUAGGGUUUAGUUAUCAUGAUCGACUCAAUAUUAUACAGUGAAAAGCUAAAUCCACAUGAGGUUUAGUUAAAAGUUUAAUAAUUUUAGUCAAAUUUUGUUUAAGAUUUAGUCAAAUAUUAUAGAAGUUUUAGUCCAACCUCAUAUCAGUCGUUGGUCAAACUUAAUGUGACAAAUAUAGAUUUGUUUUUCAUGGUAAAGAUUUCUACUCUACAAAAAGUUAUAUAAAUAGAGUACCUCUUGAAGAUAUAGACAAUUAUAAAAUUUCACUUGUGUUUUGUAUAUCAAACUAAUAGUAAAAUAAACACAAUGGCUUUUACAAAAUCAUCUGUGACUCUUUUUCUUAUAAUAAUGCUGACAAUUUCGUUUUCAAACGAUAGAGUUAUGGCGAGGCCAGGGAUUAAACAAGGAGAAGGUGAAACAUGCAUUGGAAGAUGUGAGCAACAGUAUGGAAAUAGGCAAUGUAGUAAAAAUUGUAUUGCUCAUAAUUAUUCAGGAGGAGAGUGUGCUUUUGUUUCAGGAGGCGCGACCAUACCACAAUGCUGUUGUUUCAAAUGAUAGAUAGAGAUCGAUUGUGUUUUACUUUUCAAUUUCUUGAUACAGAAUCCAAUGAAAUAAAACUAAUAUUAAUACUA